GAGAAUCAUUUCAAUGGAGAGGUACCGUUCCAAAGAACCAUUUCAACGGAGGUCUCUGUAGUAUACAGAAGGUUGCAUUGCCCGAGCUCCAGUGGUAGCAAGUUAUUGUGAUGAGCUUGUUUUCAGAGUGUUCAUUUUUUAAUCUCUGUAUUUUCUCCAUGAAUUUGAAAUGUACAAGAAGCUGUUCAAAGAUUUUUCUUCGUUCGAACCGAAAUCAUGUACACAACAACCAAAAUCUCUUCUGGAAAAUCGCUAAUGCUGUAUAACGCCUAUUUAAUUUUCUCAUCUCGUUGUUGAAUUCAUGAUUACGAUUGCCUAUGACGAAAUGCUUAUCGAUAUGACUCGCGAUUUCCGAACCAAGAGUUUGAACGAUCAAUUGAAAUUUAUUUAUUAUAUCUUUUCCAUUUUCUCAUUUGAUGUAUUUAUAUUUUUUUUUGUUGUUCUUUUCUGAGAACUUGAAUCAUGUAAGGGAAUUCGUUCGUUCAGCCAUUAUGGAGGUUGAAGGCCGAGAUAUUCUCGAUGGUGGUAGAGGAAGUUCGAUUGUUGAAAAGGGACUUGUAUUGUACACCGGCAACGAUUCUACUGGAAUGCCUUCAUAAAAAGAACAACCUGAUACCACCUGUCUCAGCCUCCACUUUAACACUUUUCGGCCUACUCAUGAGAAAACUUGAAAUAUUCUAAAAAGAUGUGGUGUUUGGCAGCACUCAAGAAAUGGUGGAAUGCGAAAGACAUGGAUGUAGGUUCUGCUGGAACAUACAUGUACCUCAUUUUCUUAUAUGAUCCUUUUGAUUUCCAAAUCUAAAUUUAAAAAAAUGGGUUUCUAGACGAUGUUUCUUUCCAUAUAGUUAAACCUUACAUAACAAAAUAAAAAAGAAAAAAGGUGUUUAGUUA